AAAGACUUAGUCCCAACCUUACUGUUGGUUGUUGCUAGACUUAUACAUGCAAGUAUCCGCGUUCCAGUGAGUAUGCCCUAGGUUCCUUAACCCCAGGACGACAGGAGCGGGCAUCAGGCACACUCCACAACAGUAGCCCAAGACGCCUAGCAAUUGCCACGCCCCCACGGGUACACAGCAGUAACUAAUAUUAAGCCAUGAGUGUAAACUUGACUUAAUCAUAGCAAAUCAGAGCGGUAAAUCCUGUGCCAGCCACCGCGGUCAGACAGGAGGCUCGAAUCAACUUUACAGACGGCGUAAAGUGUGGUAGCAUGUUAUCCAAGUAGCUAAGAUUAAAAGACAACUGAGCUGUCAUAAGCCCAAGAUGCUAGUAAGGCCGCUAUUCAAAGAAAAUCUUAGACUAACGAUUAAUUGAAAUCCACGAAAGCCAGGGCCCAAACUGGGAUUAGAUACCCCACUAUGCCUGGCCCUAAAUCUUGAUGCUCGAUCUAACCGGAGCAUCCGCCUGAGAACUACGAGCACUAACGCUUAAAACUCUAAGGACCUGGCGGUGUCCCAAAUCCACCUAGGGGAGCCUGUUCUAUAAUCGAUGAUCCACGAUAUACCUAACCAUUCCUUGCCAGAAUCAGCCUAUAUACCGCCGUCUCCAGCCCACCCAGCAUGAAGGACCAGCAGUGGACGCAAUAGCCUCACCCCGCUAGUAAGACAGGUCAAGGUAUAGCCUAUGGAAUGGGAGUAAUGGGCUACAUUUUCUAGACUAGAACAUAACGGCAAAGGGACAUGAAACUGUCCUUGGAAGGCGGACUUAGCAGUAAAGCGGGAUAAUCGAGCCCUCUUUAAGCCGGCUCUGGGGCACGUACACACCGCCCGUCGCCCUCCUCAAAAGCGACCGAAACCCCACCAUAACUUAAUACGCUACGCAGCCGAAGAGGAGGUAAGUCGUAACAAGGUAAGUGUACCGGAAGGUGCACUUAGUACAC
rnacentral:ncRNA from 1 species